CCUACGGGGGGCAGCAGUGAGGAAUAUUGGUCAAUGGGCGCGAGCCUGAACCAGCCAAGUCGCGUGAGGGAAGACGGUCCUAUGGAUUGUAAACCUCUUUUGUCGGGGAGCAACGGGCGUCACGUGUGGCGCCACUGAGAGUACCCGGAGAAAAAGCAUCGGCUAACUCCGUGCCAGCAGCCGCGGUAAUACGGAGGAUGCGAGCGUUAUCCGGAUUUAUUGGGUUUAAAGGGUGCGUAGGCGGAUCGUUAAGUCAGUGGUCAAAUUGAGGGGCUCAACCCCUUCCCGCCAUUGAAACUGGCGUUCUUGAGUGGAAGAGAAGUAUGCGGAAUGCGUGGUGUAGCGGUGAAAUGCAUAGAUAUCACGCAGAACCCCGAUUGCGAAGGCAGCAUGCCGGCUUCCGACUGACGCUGAAGCACGAAAGCGUGGGGAUCGAACAGGAUUAGAUACCCUUGUAGUC
rnacentral:rRNA from 1 species